rnacentral:lncRNA from 1 species
CUCCUCACAUUGAUUGACAAACAAGACUCACCUGAAAAUGUAGCUAACAUGGCAGGUACUAUCAAUUGUUUUUUAGCUGGUUUUAAGACUAACUUCUGGAUUGUUGAUACAGGAGCAUCAAAUCACAUGGUUUCCUCCAUGGACUUAAUGUCAUCUAGUACUACUCUUUCACCUUCUCCUCAUAACCAAGUUCAUUUACCAAAUGGUGAUAUAGCUCAAAUCACUCAUAAAGGGACUUGU